rnacentral:rRNA from 1 species
GGAAUAUUGGUCAAUGGAGGCAACUCUGAACCAGCCAUGCCGCGUGCAGGAAGACGGCCCUAUGGGUUGUAAACUGCUUUUAUUCGGGAAUAAACCUUUGCUCGUGAGCAGAGCUGAAUGUACCGACAGACUAAGGAUCGGCUACCUCCGUGCCAGCAGCCGCGGUAAUACGGAGGAUCCAAGCGUUAUCCGGAUUUAUUGGGUUUAAAGGGUGCGUAGGCGGCUUAUUAAGUCAGGGGUGAAAGACGGUGGCUCAACCAUCGCAGUGCCUUUGAUACUGAUGAGCUUGAAUACACUUGAGGUAGGCGGAAUGUGACAAGUAGCGGUGAAAUGCAUAGAUAUGUCACAGAACACCAAUUGCGAAGGCGGCUUACUAAGGCGCAAUUGACGCUGAGGCACGAAAGCGUGGGGAUCAAA